UAUAUCUUUGGUCUAGCCGUCUAUCUAGUAGCUGUUAGCUUAUUACAAUAGCUAGCUAGCUGUAUUUGAUACGUAUGUGUACAGUUCUAGGAGAGAUAGGAUAUUUGUAACUAGCUGAUUUGUUGACGAACAACAAAUAACAACGUUCAGAAAGUGGCGGAAGAUCCCUGACUCUCUGGCCACUGGUGUGAUCUGGAGGAGGCAGUGUUGAUGUUGUUGCAGUUAUGUCAGAAGCCAUCCUCACCUUCCAGUACCAGUUCAAUGGAGUCAUGGAAACGGUCCUCAAAACCGCUGUGCAUGAGAUCAAUCGGCUGGGGAAGGACAACUUCCUGGAGGAAGUGACACAGAGCAAGCAAGAAGUGGAGUCUUGAAGGAGCGGCUGCAGCAGUGUGAACAGAGAUGGAGAGACAGAGAGGGGGAGAGGAAGAGGAGGGAAGUUGAAGAGAAAGAGCAGAGUGGGGUGUGUAGGAGAUGUGGUUGUGCUGGAGACAAUGAGAUAGAAGAGGCACUGUCAGGUGAGUGAGGAGAGAUGCACACACCCACACGAUAUAGGAUCUAUAACUUUGUUCUGUUCCAUCCUCAGGAGAAGAGGAAGGUUGUGUUAUCAAACAGGAGAUGUUCCAGUCAGGUGGACCCAGUGCUUUCCCAGAGAUAGAGGGUCCACAGGAAACGGCCACACCUAGCUCUUUGUCUCUGAAAGGAUGGAAGAGACAAAGGCCCAAGUGGUCCAUAUCAAAGAAGAGCUCAAUGACUGGGUGGACUUGGUUUCCCAGAUGAUCACAUCCACAGUUUCCCCCAUAAUCAGCCUGAGUCGUCUACAGAGAUUGAGCUCACAUCAUGGGGGAUAGAUCAGGGAGCCUCUUCCUCCAUUACCAUUGGCCAGGAAGAAGCAAGACCUUCUCCCAAGGUUAGUUAUACCCACCCAGGGGACAGAGCAUGCUGUGGGGGCCCUCGAGACCAGCCCCUAUGGCCUGAUGAUCAACACAACGGCACAUCUGAGGGUCAAACCCUUCAGCUGUCCACACUGUGGGAAGAGCUUCCCUCAGCUCUGAAACCUGAAAGACCACCAGAAGUACCACCACACAGGGAAGAAGGCCUUCACCUGCUCCCAGUGUGGUAAGGGUUUUGUGUACAUGUCCCACUUCAGGGUACACAUGCAGUGCCACACGGGGAACAGGCCAUUCAGCUGCUCUCAGUGUGGGAAGAGCUUCAGCCUUCAGAGUGGCUUGAUGAAACACAUGGGCAUUCACACUGUAGAGAGAGACCUUACCACUGCACGGACUGUGGUAACAGAUUCAAUUCUAGAGCGGACCUGAAAAGACAUGAACAGAUAGAUUCAUGCAGCAAGGUAGACCUUUGAGAUGAAGCAGGUUGAUUUAGAAAAUCAGAGGAAAUAACUGCCCACGUGUACUAUGUUCAAUGUAUCUAUUAGUUGCUGAUUCAUUUAAUGUUGAGAGGUAUAAAACUCUUUAUGAAUAAAUUAUUCUCAUCCUUUCUUAAUAAA